AUUGAACGCUGGCGGCAGGCCUAACACAUGCAAGUCGAGCGGAGCGUCGGACGGGUGAGUAUUGCCUAUGAAUCUGCCUGGUAGUGGGGGAUAACGUCCGGAAACGGGUGCUAAUACCGCAUACGAUUAGAUGAGCCUAGGGCGGAUUGGCUAGUUGGUGGGGGAAAGGCCUACCAAGGCGACGAUCCGUAACUGGUCUGAGAGGAUGAUCAGUCACCCUGGAACGGCGACACCGUCCAGACUCCUACGAGAGGCAGCAGUGGCGUAUAUUGGGCAAUGGGCGAAAGCCUGAUCCAGCCAUGCCGCGUGUGUGAAGAAGGUCUUCGGAUUGUAAAGAACUUUAAGUUGGUAGGCGUUACCUACAGAAUAAGCACCGGCUAACUUCGUGCCAGCAGCCGCGGUAAUAC
rnacentral:rRNA from 1 species